UACGAAGGGGGCUAGCGUUGCUCGGAAUCACUGGGCGUAAAGCGCACGUAGGCGGCUCUUUAAGUCAGGGGUGAAAUCCUGGAGCUCAACUCCAGAACUGCCCUUGAUACUGAGGAGCUUGAGUCCGGGAGAGGUGAGUGGAACUCCGAGUGUAGAGGUGAAAUUCGUAGAUAUUCGGAAGAACACCAGUGGCGAAGGCGGCUCACUGGUCCGGUACUGACGCUGAGGUGCGAAAGCGUGGGGAGCAAACAGG
rnacentral:rRNA from 1 species